UUUGGUAGGGACAACCGGCCGAGCGGUGGAAUACAUGCGGGUGUGGCACGCAAAAAGGACGCCACGUUAACGAUGGACACGGACAGAACUGAACCCCCACAAGAUUCGGCACGAUUCACCCCAUCACCGCCCACAAGUCGAGAGCUCCUCUCAGCGCGGUCAUAGUAACGUUUUGGGGCCCACACCAUCUUCCCAACUGCCC
rnacentral:lncRNA from 1 species